rnacentral:rRNA from 1 species
UACGAAGGGGGCUAGCGUUGCUCGGAAUCACUGGGCGUAAAGGGUGCGUAGGCGGGUCUUUUAAGUCAGGGGUGAAAUCCUGGAGCUCAACUCCAGAACUGCCUUUGAUACUGGGGAUCUCGAGUCCGGAAGAGGUGAGUGGAACUCCGAGUGUAGAGGUGAAAUUCGUAGAUAUUCGGAAGAACACCAGUGGCGAAGGCGGCUCACUGGUCCGGUACUGACGCUGAGGUGCGAAAGCGUGGGGGAGCAAACAGG